rnacentral:rRNA from 1 species
AUUGAACGCUGGCGGCAGGCCUAACACAUGCAAGUCGAACGAGUGGCGGACGGGUGAGUAAUGUCUGGGAAACUGCCUGAUGGAGGGGGAUAACUCCUGGAACCGGUAGUUAAUACCGCAUACCAUCAGAUGUGCCCAGAUGGGAUUCGGUAGUUGGUGGGGUAACGGCUCACCAAGGCGACGAUCCCUAGCUGGUCUGCGAGGUUGAACAGCCACACUGUAACUGAGACACGGUCCAGACUCCUACGGGAGGCAGCAGUGGGGAAUAUUUCACAAGGGGCGCAAGCCUGAGGCAGCCAUGCCGCGUGAGUGAGGAAGGCCUUCGGGUUGUAAAGUACUUUCAGUGGGGAAGCGUUACCCACAGAAGAAGCACCGGCUAACUCCGUGCCAGCAGCCGCGGUAAUUC